GCCUAACACAUGCAAGUCGAACGGCAGCGCGGGAGCAAUCCUGGCGGCGAGUGGCGAACGGGUGAGUAAUACAUCGGAACGUGCCCAAUCGUGGGGGAUAACGCAGCGAAAGCUGUGCUAAUACCGCAUACGAUCUACGGAUGAAAGCAGGGGACCGCAAGGCCUUGCGCGAAUGGAGCGGCCGAUGGCAGAUUAGGUAGUUGGUGGGGUAAAGGCUCACCAAGCCUGCGAUCUGUAGCUGGUCUGAGAGGACGACCAGCCACACUGGGACUGAGACACGGCCCAGACUCCUACGGGAGGCAGCAGUGGGGAAUUUUGGACAAUGGGCGCAAGCCUGAUCCAGCCAUGCCGCGUGCAGGAUGAAGGCCUUCGGGUUGUAAACUGCUUUUGUACGGAACGAAAAGUCUCUUUCUAAUAAAGAGGGAUCAUGACGGUACCGUAAGAAUAAGCACCGGCUAACUACGUGCCAGCAGCCGCGGUAAUACGUAGGGUGCAAGCGUUAAUCGGAAUUACUGGGCGUAAAGCGUGCGCAGGCGGUGAUGUAAGACAGAUGUGAAAUCCCCGGGCUCAACCUGGGAACUGCAUUUGUGACUGCAUCGCUGGAGUGCGGCAGAGGGGGAUGGAAUUCCGCGUGUAGCAGUGAAAUGCGUAGAUAUGCGGAGGAACACCGAUGGCGAAGGCAAUCCCCUGGGCCUGCACUGACGCUCAUGCACGAAAGCGUGGGGAGCAAACAGGAUUAGAUACCCUGGUAGUCCACGCCCUAAACGAUGUCAACUGGUUGUUGGGUCUUCACUGACUCAGUAACGAAGCUAACGCGUGAAGUUGACCGCCU
rnacentral:rRNA from 1 species